CAGACGCAAGCUGCGGGCGACAUUGUUUGGGAUGCUGGGUUCUGCUUUUCCAGAAUCCUGCCCUUUCCAAAAGGAAGACAGUAUGAUUAAGUUCCAGGAAAGGGCGACAUUCAAGGACAUAGCUGUUAUCUUCACCAAGGAAGAGCUGGCAGUAUUGGAUAAAUCCCAGAUAAACCUGUACCAAGAUGUGAUGCUGGAAAACUUCAGGAACCUCAUCUCAGUGGGUGAGUAACUGAGCAUCAGACCACUGGACCUGUGUCCUGAAAUCAUCAUUUCAAACCACAUAGAAAACUCCAGUUAGAUCACAAAGAGAAACUUUGACCACUGGAAAGAAAACACCUAAGAGAUGCAUGUGCAGGUUAGAACCCUGCAGUUAAUGAGCUUUUACAGAUCAAUGUGAGGAUCUGGCCCCUUGUGAUGGGUUUGUGAGGGAGCUCUCCCCAAAUCUCAUACCCCUGGCCUGUGGGCAUUCAAUGCAGGUAGUAAUCCCUCCCUCCCCUAAUCACACAUUUAGGCUCUCAUUCUUUCCUCAUAUUUCUCAGAAUGAGACAUAAAAUUCACACAUCACCAAGAGCCUUGAUCUAUUGGAUGCUUCUGGAGAAAAAUCAAUGUUUAUCCAAUGUUUUGGAUAAACCAGUGUUAAAGGAACAAAGGGAGAACUUUGAUUUGGUUGGCAGUUACAAUAGCCAACACUUACUGGUAUGUAGUAAGUGUAAUCUAAGUGUUGGCUUAUUUGAUUACUUUUUGAUAAAUAUCUAACCUCAUUUUCAUUUCUCAGAGGUUCAUAUACAGUUAUGUGCUACCUAAGUUUAGUUUAUGAGAUAGAGAUAUGGUUUGGCUAUAUCCCUACCCAAGUCUCAUCUUGAAUUGUAG
rnacentral:lncRNA from 1 species